UACGGGGGGGGCAAGCGUUGUUCGGAAUUACUGGGCGUAAAGGGCUCGUAGGCGGCCAACUAAGUCAGACGUGAAAUCCCUCGGCUUAACCGGGGAACUGCGUCUGAUACUGGAUGGCUUGAGGUUGGGAGAGGGAUGCGGAAUUCCAGGUGUAGCGGUGAAAUGCGUAGAUAUCUGGAGGAACACCGGUGGGGAAGGCGGCAUCCUGGACCAAUACUGACGCUGAGUGAGCGAAAGCCAGGGGAGCAAACGGG
rnacentral:rRNA from 1 species